AAGUCCUCGAAUGGAGGCCACGGAUGGG
rnacentral:sRNA from 1 species